rnacentral:lncRNA from 1 species
AAAAUCAGCAAUUCUUGAUUGGCAAUUAGGCAACGGUUGUGGGGGUUUUGAACACUAUAAAUACAACUCAAAAUCAGUUUUCUAAGUACAACAACUGAUUAUAUUCUUGCUAAAGCCUGCAUACUCUCAUAUUCAUCAUUUUCUAUUCAUUUAAUAAGUUUUUGAGAGCCAAACUCUUGACGAAAGUUGUUGUGUUCUUGAG